rnacentral:rRNA from 1 species
GCGAGAACACCGGCGGCCGAGUGGUGAUCGUGAUUAUUGGGUCUAAGGGUCCGUAGCCGGUUUGGUCAGUCCUCCGGGAAAUCUGAUAGCUCAACUAUUAGGCUUUCGGGGGAUACUGCCAGACUUGGAACCGGGAGAGGUAAGAGGUACUACAGGGGUAGGAGUGAAAUCUUGUAAUCCCUGUGGGACCACCUGUGGCGAAGGCGUCUUACCAGAACGGGUUCGACGGUGAGGGACGAAAGCUGGGGGCACGAACCGGAUUAGAUACCCGGGUAGUCCCAGCCGUAAACGAUGCUCGCUAGGUGUCAGGCAUGGCGCGACCGUGUCUGGUGCCGCAGGGAAGCCGUGAAGCGAGCUACCUGGGAAGUACGGCCGCAAGGCUGAAACUUAAAGGAAUUGGCGGGGGAGCACAACAACGGGUGGAGCCCUGCGGUUUAAUUGGACUCAACGCCGGACAACUCACCGGGGGCGACAGCAAUAUGUAGGCCAAGCUGAAGACUUUGCCUGAAUCGCUGAGAAGUGGUGCAUGG